UUGUACUGCUAACUGCUCUAUGCCAAAUUCAAGGUUCUUAGAAGAACCUUGUUCUUAAGGGGGGGAUGUUACGACCCCUUCCUUCUCCUGCAGGAGGCUGCAGGCAGGGAGGCUGAUUGGGCUGCACCUGUGCAGCUCUCUUCAGAGCUUAUUUAGCCAGGACUGAUCAGUGUUUUGUCUUUUGUUCGACUUACAGGCACAACAACAACCAACGAUACUGCAACAAAACUACAAGCUCGUGCAGAUUGUUCUGCUCUGGACUACAUAAUGUUGGUUAUGCGUGUGGCUGAACUCCUCCUAAUUACUGUGAUUACUGUUCUUCUCAUCAGAGCUCGAGAGACUACCUGACAACAACACAGUGACCUACAGCAGCGUGAAAGCUUCCUCUUCUUCUGCUGGAGCCUCAGCUGAUCCCAGCGACCUCUACGCCACCGUCAACAAACCAAACAAAUAAGAGACCACAGUGUAGUUACAGCUCAUAUCAUUACAGGUAAUUUACACUGAGAACUGAUAAAUGUUUUAUUAUUUGAAUUAUUUUAUGAUAAUAUAUGGGACAUUUAGCUUGAUGAACUUGCUGUCAGGCACUUUAAUGUGCUAGUGCUGUGUUGUAGUUAAACAUGUAUUAGUUUUUACUGUUAUUUCUGUAUCUGCUGUUAUUGUUUGAUAUGCAGUCAU